AUUGAACGCUGGCGGCAGGCCUAACACAUGCAAGUCGAGCGGAUGAAGGGAGCUUGCUCCUGGAUUCAGCGGCGGACGGGUGAGUAAUGCCUAGGAAUCUGCCUGGUAGUGGGGGAUAACGUCCGGAAACGGGCGCUAAUACCGCAUACGUCCUGAGGGAGAAAGUGGGGAAUCUUCGGACCUCACGCUAUCAGAUGAGCCUAGGUCGGAUUAGCUAGUUGGUGGAGUAAAGGCCUACCAAGGCGACGAUCCGUAACUGGUCUGAGAGGAUGAUCAGUCACACUGGAACUGAGACACGGUCCAGACUCCUACGGGAGGCAGCAGUGGGGAAUAUUGGACAAUGGGCGAAAGCCUGAUCCAGCCAUGCCGCGUGUGUGAAGAAGGUCUUCGGAUUGUAAAGCACUUUAAGUUGGGAGGAAGGGCAGUAAGUUAAUACCUUGCUGUUUUGACGUUACCAACAGAAUAAGCACCGGCUAACUUCGUG
rnacentral:rRNA from 1 species